rnacentral:rRNA from 1 species
UACGUAGGGGGCAAGCGUUGUCCGGAAUCAUUGGGCGUAGAGAGCGUGUAGGCGGUCCGAUAAGUCCGCUCUGAAAGCCCGGGGCUCAACCCCGGGAGGCGGGCGGAUACUGUCGGGCUAGAGUCCGGAAGAGGCAAGUGGAAUUCCUGGUGUAGCGGUGAAAUGCGCAGAUAUCAGGAGGAACACCGAUGGCGAAGGCAGCUUGCUGGGACGGUACUGACGCUGAGGAGCGAAAGCGUGGGGAGCAAACAGG